rnacentral:rRNA from 1 species
CCGGUGAGCGUCGGCCCGUCGGUGGACCGAGGAAGACCGUCGCGGAGCGGCGUCGACCGUUCGUCGUGUGUUGGCGUUCGACUCGGGGGGACUGGUUCCAGUGCCCUCGGACCGCGCCGGCGCAGCGGCGGGCGCGCACGGCGUCGCGCCUGGGGUCGGUGGCGAAACGGCCGGCAACCUGUCCGACCCGUCUUGAAACACGGACCAAGGAGUCUAACAUGUGCGCGAGUCGUUGGGCGCUACGAAACCCGAAGGCGCAAUGAAAGUGAAGGCCCGGUCUCCGGCCGGCCUGGGUGGGAUCCCGGCGGUCUCGGCCGUCGGGCGCACCACCGGCCCGUCUCGUUCGUUACGUCGAGGAGGCGGAGCAAGAGCGUACACGUUGGGACCCGAAAGAUGGUGAACUAUGCCCGAGUAGGACGAAGCCAGAGGAAACUCUGGUGGAGGUCCGCAGCGAUUCUGACGUGCAAAUCGAUCGUCAAACUUGGGUAUAGGGGCGAAAGACUAAUCGAACCAUCUAGUAGCUGGUUCCUGUCGAAGUUUCCCUCAGGAUAGCUGGCGCUCGUCGUGAGCAGUUUUAUCCGGUAAAGCGAAUGACUGGAGGCCUUGGG